CGCCGCCGCCCCCUCGCGCCUGCGCCCGGCCGCCCCCUUGCCAUAGAGCUGAGCAAUCCUCCCAGCUUCCUAGAGCGGACGCGGGGAUGGCGGUUCCGCAGCUUGUGAGGUUUGACUGCGACCCGGAGGACACGUCGAGAGGAUGUUUCUGGUGGUCUAGUCUCAGAAAUUAUAUCUCCAGUCUCCACAAUGAUUCCCUUCCAAGCCCAGUGGUGCCCCGUUGCCUCCAGGUUUCAGACUCCUACGUGGACAAGAAAAGCUUACUAAGGAAAUGGUAAUUCUCCAGUUGCUCCCCGAGGUGCCAAGUGUCCAGUUACAGCCCAUGGAGAUCCACUUCAAUUAUGAAUCUCAAGAACACCACCUUCUGUCAGAGUGUGUGUAAAAGAACAUUUUGUGGGGCGCCUGGGUGGCUCAGUCGUUAAGCAUCUACCUUCGGCUCAGGUCAUGAUCGCAGGGUCCUGGGAUCGAGCCCUGCAUCAGGCUCCCUGCUCAGCGGAGAGCCUGCUUCUCCCUCUCCCGCUCGCCCUGCUUGUGUUCCCUCUCUUGCUGUGUCUCUGUCAAAUAAAUAAAUAAAAUCUUUAAAAAAAAAAAACAACAUUUUGUUACUGUAGAGUAAUCUAAUUAUACUAAAGUACAUAUAUAAAAUAUAGAAAGACACAAAAUGGGAAUUUAAAUAACCUACAACUCCACCAUCUAGAGAUAGUCACUAACAUUAAUGUAUCCUUCAAAUAAUUUAAUCAACUAUUCAAUGCUUAUUGUUGAUACAUGUUUAUUAGUUAAUCAGAUUAUAGCUUAUUAAUUAUUGCUGACCAUAUAAUAUGGUUAGUUAUUGAAGGGUUGCUCUGUGCUAGGCACUGUUCUAAGUGCUGGGCAUAUAGCAGUGAACUGAACAGAUAAGCCUUUGCCCUUAAGGAGCUUACAUUCUGGUGGGGGAAACAGGAAAUAAGUAAGUAUAUGGUAGAGCAUCAGAUAGUGAUAAUCAUUACGAAGAAAAUAAACCAGGAUGUAUCAGUCAGGACUCUAGCAGGAAACAGAUGGUUCAUUCAAAUUGGGUAAUUCAAGGUUUCAUGAAGAAGAUGGGCAGGGUUACAGAAAUUAAUAAGGGAUAGAGUACAGCUUUGGGACAAAAAAAAAUGAUAAACAGUUAUUACCUUUAGGCCUAAUGUUACAAAGGGAGAGACUGAUGACCAGCUCAUGGAGAGUAUAGCUGUAGGGUAGAGCUGCCCAGUUGGAGCCAUGGCCUUUGCUAAAAGAAACAAUUACUUCCAACUCCUGGCCCAGCAGGAAAGGAGUCAGGAUGUAGAGUGAAGAACUCAUCCCGGUUUCCCUGGGAUUUAGCACUGAAAGUCCCAUAUCCCAAGAACCCCGUCUGUUUUGGACAAACCAGGAUAGUUGGUCACUCUACAGUUCUCCUCCUUCUUUGGGCCAAAUCUAAUUGCAAGCAGAGGACAGAGAGUCCCAAGUGCUGCAGUCCAAAAACUAGUAUCAACCUCUUGGAGCACAGAGCAACAUGAACAGUAGAUCUAGAGGGGCAAAAGGAGAAUAUCCCAUUACAGUCCACCUCUUUUAACCUAUACUACUUACUUUUGUCCUUUGUUUGGGUUAUCAUGUUCCCAACACAUAUCUUUUUCUUAAGCUCUUUUUUUUUUUAAAGAUUUAUUUAUUUAUUUGAGAGGGCGAGAAUGAGAGAGAGAGAGAGCACAUGAGAGGGGGGAGGGUCAGAGGGAGAAGCAGGCUCCUCGCCGAGCAGGGAGCCCGAUGCAGGACUCGAUCCAGGGACUCCAGGAUCAUGACCUGAGCCGAAGGCAGUCGCUCAACCAACUGAGCCACCCAGGCGCCCCUUCUUUUUUUUUAUUAUUAUUAUUUUAAAGAUUUUUAUUUAUUUAUUUACUUAACAGAGAUAGAGAGAGAGCACAAGUAGGCAGAGCGGCAGACAGAGGGAGAAGGAGAAGCAGGCUCUCCGCUGAGCAGGGAGCCUGAUGCGGGGCUCGAUCCCAGGACCCUGGGAUCAUGACCCUAGCUGAAGGCAGCCGCUUAACCGACUGAGCCACUCAGGCGCCCCCCCCCAGGCGCCCCUUCUUAAGCUCUUAAGCUACCAUAUCUUUGCAGGUUGACUUGUAAUUAAAUUCUACUCCCACCUGAAACAUGAAACUUCACUGCUACUGGUGCUCUUCAUAUAAGGUAGUGAGAUAAAGGGGGGAAAGGCAUAAUUAACUUAAAAUCACUGCUACAGUUUUUGCUAUUCACAAAGCCAAAACUGAUAAUCAUAACUAUCUUCUUCCAUCACCCAUUCCAUAUUGCCUCUACCCUCUGCCAGAAUCUCAGUGGCAGAGUUCUUUGCUUAGUUUAGUAACAUAAACCUUUUUUCCUGGACGAUCUGAGUCCUUGAUGAUCUUGUCUCUUCCAUGUUAUUUCAGCGUACCAUUGACUGGGCCUUUAGACAUGAGAGAACUAGGAAGCACCUGCAUUGAAUCGUCUGAGUUCUACACCUACUGUUCUUUGCCUUUAUUAUGUAGCAGCGGCCAAUUCCCCAGUAGCAGUUGGUAUCAGUCAUCCUAGCCAGUAGAGCAACCCUUUCUCUGCCUGUUAGUGCAGCAGCUUGAGGAACCCAAAAUGGCCAGGAGACAGUCUCAGCUUCGGAUUUGACAAAAUCACGACUUUGGUAGAAGUAUUUCUUCUUUGAGAACCACAACCCCAAACCCACUAAGCCCAAGAUUAUGGGGAUAGGAAUUAAAAAUAAUAUAGGGGCACCUGGGUGGCUCAGUUGGUUAAGCAUCCGACUCUUGAUUUCAGCUCAGGUUAUGAUAUCAGGGUCGUGGGGUUGAGCCCCGGGUCAGACUCCCUGCUCAGUGGAGAGUCCGCUUGAGAUUCUUUCCCUCUCCCUCUGCCGCCACCCACGUGUGCACACACGCUCAUGUGCUCUCUCUCUCUCUCAAAUAAAUCUUUAAGAAUAUAAUAUAACAUAAUCCAUAAUAUAAAUGGAUUAUUAGUUAUAUAGUAAAAAGAGACAUUAUUACUACUCCUCUACCAUUGACUCCUAUACUCAUGUAUUCUGGCCAUAGAGAAGACAACACUGUUUAUUGUCCUCUGGUUUAAGGCAUAUAUUGCAUCUUGUAGGACAGCACCCCAAACUUAGGGUGUUGUUGCCUGGCUGGUACUGUAACUGGGCCUUCGGUAAAUCAUUCCACUAUUAUUGAAAUCCACUUACUUCUGGAUGAUGGGACAUGUGAUAAGACCCGUGAAUUACAUGUGUGUGAGCUUAUUGCUGUACUUCCUUCCCUGUAAAACUACUCCCUUGGAGGCAUUAUUGUAUAGAAUUACCAUGGUGGCCAAUGCGCAUUUGUAUUUGGACUGUAUAUUUAGUCCUUUGAAAACAGAUUGUUGCCCUCUUCAUGAUAGAAGGGGCCAGGUAUAAUGAAUCUGCCCCUUACUUGCGGGCUAGGACCUCUCCAGAGAACGGUACCAAAUUAGGGGCUCAGUGUUGGUCCCAGCAGUUGGCUGCAUGUGUACAUAGCUGUGAUGAUAGGCAUAUCAGCCUUGAUAAACAGAUACCUAUUUUGUUGACCCCAUGCAUAGCCUCCAUUCCUGUUGCCAUGACCACUUUGUACAUGAGUCCAUUGGGCAAGCAUUAGUAAAAAGUCUGAUUGACAUUCAUAACAUGGAUCACCAUGUCCAUCUGAUUGAGAGGCUUCUUUACAGUGGAUUCCCUUUGCUGAGUAUUCACAUAGGAUGCAAAUAUAUUCAUUCUUUGCCCAUCCUAGGAGGUCUAUCAUAAUUUUCUUCUGGAAUCCUUAUUUCUAGUCUUCCAAAUUUGUUCUUUGAGGUACCUAAUUAAUCAGAUAACCCAUUAGUCAUUAUCCAUGAAUCAAUAUAGAUGUGUAUCUUAGGCCCUGUUGCCUUCCAUGAAAGUGGACAGCCAGGUGUAUACCUGAAAUUCUGCCUACUGGGAAGAUUUGCCUUUACCAGUAUGUUUCAGGUCACCUCAGAGUCAGGGUAUAAGUAAAAGAUUCAUUUUCUGCUAGUGUCCACACACUGAGCAGACCCAUCUAUAAAUCAGUUCUGUACUUUUUCCUCCUCUGUUAACUGGUGAGAGGGAAUUGCCAUUAGGCCAUGAAUAUCAGCUAAUGGGGAAGGGAUUAGUGGAGCAAUAGGAAAAGGUAUUAUGGCAACCCACAUCACUAGCACAUAGAAUUUAUUUGUCUUCCACACUUGCUUUUAUAAUGGAAUGCUGGUUUGUAUGUCCAGUUUUAUGAUUUGAUGGAUCAAAUAGCUAGUUCACAAUGGUCAGCUUGUAAUAGUCAUUUGGUGCUCUGUGGUCAAGCAUUAAGUCUCUAUUAGUGCCCAAGAGCAAGCCAAUGUCUGUUUUUCACUUAGAAACUUGUUGGCAGAAGAGAGUAUGGCCUUACUCCACUGACGUUCUCUUCUGGAGGCUUGCCAGAGGCUUAAUACAGCAUCCCUGACUCCUGCAGACACUUCUUACCAUUGGUUAUCCUGGUUAAUAAAGUCAUGUGACAGGACAGCUUGCAUUGCAACCUGGACCGCUGCAAAGCCUUUUUUAAAUUUUGAGUCUCACUCAAAGAUAACAACCUUACAAGUUACUAAUAUUGGUCAUUUCAGCACAUUUGACUGUGGUAUCUGUUGUCUCAAAAAUGCAGCGCUCACCAAGUAUUGUGCCUUUCUGAGGUAGUAACAGUUGGUUAGAGAUACAAGGGAAGUGAGACAACAAACCAUAUGACUAUCUGAGAGAAGAGUGUUUCAGGCAGAGGGAAUAGCAAAUGCCAGAGGCCCUUUAAUGUAGCAGGAGCAGAGUCCGUCAGGGAUAGACAGGAAAUAGGGCUGGUGGUGGAAUGAAAUGAGAGCAGAGAGAGAAAGGACCGGAUGGAACCUUCUAAGCCAUAGUUAGAACAUGGAAUUUAUUCCCAGUGUAAUAGGAAAUCACAGGAGCAUUUUAUGCAUGAUAAUAACAUAUAAAGAUCGCUCUGGGGAUGCCUGGGUGGCUCAAUCGGGUUAAGUGUCUGCCUUUGGCUCAGGUCAUGAUUCCAGGGUCCUGGGAUUGAGUCCUGCAUCGGGCUCCUUGCUCAGCAGGGAGCCUGCUUCUCCCUCUGCCUGCCACUCCCCUGCUUGUGUGUGCUCACGCUCUCUUCCUUUCUCUCUCUCUCUCUGACAAAUGAAUAUAUAAAAUAUUUUUAAAAAAAGAUCACUCUUUUAUGGAGAAUAGGAGAAAGGUUAGUUAGCGAGAAGAAAACAAAUGUUUUAAGAAGAGCGUAAUCAACUAUGUCAGAUAAAUACAGAAGAAGAUUGAGAAUUGACCAUUGGAUUUGUCAAGGUAGAGCUUAUUAGAGAUUCUGAUAAGUGCAGAUUUGAUGGAGUUAAGGAAAUAAAAGCCUGAUUGCAGUGGGUUAAAAAGAGAAUAGACUUAAUAUUGGUUAGCAUAUAGAGCAGUGUGAACUCAUACACUCAACAGUAAGACCCAACAAUUCUGGUCCUAAGUUUAUGUAACCUGGAGAAACACUUGCAUAUGUGCAUAAAAAUAAAUGUACUAGCAGAUUCAUAUCAGCAUUAUUUGAAAUAAAAUGUUAUUGUCCAUUGAAGGAGAAUGGGUAAAUAAAUUGUGUUAUAUGUCACACUAUAGUGGUGAACAUGAAUAGACUGCAGUUACACACAUGAAUAUAGAUGAAUCUUCCAAACAUAAUGUUGAGCAAAAAAAAAAGCAGAUCAUAGAAUACAUGUGAUAUAAUUCCAUAAAUGUAUAUAGUUCAAAAACAUGCUCUAUUUGUCUGCUAGGGCUGCCAUAACAAAGUAUCACAGAUUGGGUGGCUUAAACAACACAAAUUUAUUUUCUCACAGUUCUGUGCAUUAACUUUUGUCAUCUGUGCUUUGCUUUCUUCUAGAAAUUUUAUAGUUCUAGUUUUUAUGGUUAGGUUUAUAUUACAUUUCUAGUUAAUUUGGGGGUAUAGCAUAAGGAAAGAGGCUUAAUUUGUGUUAUUGUUAUAUCCAGUUCUAACACUUUGUUGAAAAAAGACUGUCCUUUCACCAUUGAUUGUCUUGGCAACUUUGCUGACAGUCAGUUUUACAUAUAUGUUUGAUCUAUUUAUGGACUCAGUCAUAUUUCAUUAAUAUAUAGCCUGUCCUUAUGCAAUCCCACACUACUUUGAUUACUGUAGCCUUAUAAUAAAGCUUAAAAUCUGGUAGUGUAACUUCUCCAGUUUUGUUCUUCUUUUCCAAAAUUGUUUAGACUCUUCUGUGCCUUUCUACAUAAAGUUUAGAAUCAAUUUGUCAAUUUCUAUGAAAAAGCCUGCUGAGGUUUUGAUUGGGGUUGCAUUGAACCUAUGGAGAAUUAAUUCCAUCAUCUUAACAAUAUUAAAUCUUCUUCUCCAUAAGUGAUGGCAUAUAUUUCUGUUUAUUAGUUCUUCUUUAACUUCUCUUAGCAGUGUUUUGUAGUUUUCAUGAUAAACAUAUUACACAUAUUUUGUUGAAUUUGUUUUUAAAUAUUUCAUUUUUGGUGUAAUUAAAAAAAAUUUUUAAUUUUAGGCUCUAGGGACGCCUGGGUGGCUCAGUGGUUAAGCUGCUGCCUUCGGCUCAGGUCAUGAUCCCAGGGUCCUGGAAUCAAGUCCCGUGUCGGGCUCCUUGCUCAGCGGGGAGCCUGCUUCUCCUCCUGCUUGUGCUCUUUCUCUGUCUCUCUCUCUCUCUCUGACAAAUUAAAAAAAAACAAUUUAGGCUCUAGUUUUUCAUGGCUAGUAUACUGAAAUACAGUUGGGUUUUUUGUAUAUUGUUCUAAUAAACUCAUGUACAAGGUCUAAUAACUUUUUUGAGAUACUUUAGAAUUUUCUAUAUACAUGAUUGUGUAGUCUGUAAGUGAAGACAGUUUGACUUUUUUUUAUUUGUAUCUCUCAUUUAUUUUUCAUGUCUUGUUGCAUUGGCUAGUAAUACUGAAUAGAGUUUGUAUAGUGUUGAAUAGAAGUAGUAAGAGAGGGCAUCCAUGUUUUGCUCCCUUGUUCCUAGGAGAAAAGCAUUCAGUGUUUAACCAUUAAGUAUGAUGUUAGCUUUUGCUUUUUAUACGAGUAGUUAAUUUACAUAUAACAGGGACACCUGGGUGGCUCAGUAGGUUAAGUGUAUGCCUUCAGCUCAAGUCAUGAUCCCAAGUCCCGCACUGGGCUCCUUAUUCAGCAAGGAGUCUGCUUCUCCCUCUGCCUGCCAUUCCCCUUGCUUGUGUGCUCUCUCUCUUUCUCUGACAAAUAAAUAAAUAAAAUCUUUAAAAAAAAAUUUCAUAUAACAUAGUUAUUUGGAUUUAAAUGUACUAUCUUUGUAUUUCUUUUUAUUAAUCCCAUCUUUUGUUUCUUUUCUUUCUCCUUUAAUCCCUAAUUUUACAUUAUCAGUUUCUUUUGUUUUUCUAUUUUUUUCUCUAUUAGCUUAUUUUUUAUACACCCUUUUAUUAUUUAAUUGGUACCUCAUAGCAGUGUGAUUCUGUGAGAAAUUAAGCCCCAGUGUUCUAAGGUAUUACUUAUAAUUAAUGUAUUAAUUUUUCUCCUGUACAUGUAUUGUAGCACUAGCUGUGUACCAUCUUUGGGGAGAAUUAAGAAGAUGGUUAUUCAGAUCAUUUUGUUUUAUUUCCUUAUGGAACCUGGUUGAAAAAGGCUGCCUAAGAAAUUACAGCAUAUACGUUUGAUUCAUUAGUUUAUCUUAAUUUGUUAUUUCUAGGAAAAUUCAAAGAUCUUACAAUGUUUUGGUUCUGUUUACCUCUGUCCUCUUGUGCUAUCUUUGCCAUGUACUUUAAUUCUCUCUAUAUUAUAAACUCCAUAAGACACUGAUACUGCUUAAGUCGGUCAGUACACAUGUAGAUUUACCCAUAUACUUUACUUUUUGCAGUGCCUUUGCCUCUGGCAAAGGGAAGAAGCCUCCAGUUGGAGGCAUGAGAUAUUUUUCCUUUUGCCUUUGAAAUUAAUGUGUCAUGUUUUCAGCUCUCUAGACCAUUUGCAGUCUGACCGUAGUAUGCCUUUUAUAGUAAAUACCAUUUAAUAGUGGGCUGAUAGUCAAGAAUUUCAGCGGAGCCCCCAUAUUCCCUACCAUCACAGGCAUCUGGUAUUAUAAAGCAUUGGAAUGGCCUCCUCAAAACUCAACUCAGAAGAGAUUUCUGAUCCCACCUCCCUAACCUUUUCCUGGUUCAUACACUUUGCUAAGGAAGUCUGGUUACUGAAUAUGGCUCUUCCUAAAAUGGGAUCAUAUUUUCUUAACCACUUCCUUGUAAUAAUCAGGACAAAAGAGUUGGAUUAUAUAGACCUAUUUUUGAAAAUUCAGGUUUCUGUCCUUACCAUUCCUGGACAUUGAUACUUCUUUCUUUCUUUCCUCUAAAGUAGCCUCUGAUCAGCCUGGUUGGUGGUCCUCCCAGUGACAGCCAGGCCCCCACUGCCUCCUCCUUCUCCCCCUCCUUCUCCCCUGUCCCUCAAGUACUCUUUCAUAUUGCUUACCUUACUUACAUUAAUAAGUUGCUUGUGGGUUGGCUUUAAUUUAGUCAGACUUUCAUAAUUACUGUGAGUAGGUUUCAGUAUUCCCACAUCUCCUGUGACAAACAUAUACAGAACAUACCUGGUAAACUGCUUCAAUAAAUGAUUAUUAUGACCCAUUACUUACUGAUUCUUCCUAAUUGCUCUUUCAGAGGAUUAUUUUCAGUGUUUUGGAGCACUCUCAUAUUGUGACAGCAUUUUAUUUAUUU